rnacentral:rRNA from 1 species
GAUGAACGCUGGCGGCGUGCCUAACACAUGCAAGUCGAGCGAACGGACGAGAAGCUUGCCUCUCUGAUGUUAGCGGCGGGCGGGUGAGUUACACGUGGACAACCUACCUAUAAGACUGGGGUAACUCCGGAAAACCGUAACUAAUACCUGCUAAUUUUUUGAACCGCAUGGUUCAAAAGUGAAAGACGGUCUUGCUGUUACUCAUAGAUGGAUCCGCGCUGGAUUAGCUAGUUGGUAAGGUAACGGCUUACCAAGGCAACGAUGAGUAGCCGGCCUGAGAGGGUGACCAGCCACACUGGAACUGAGACACGGCCCAGACUCCUACGGGAGGCAGCAGUGGGGAAUGUUCCGCAAUGGGCGAAAGCCUGACGGAGCAACGCCGCGUGAGUGAAGAAGGCCUUCGGAUCGUAAAGCUCUGUUAUUAGGGAAGAACAUAUGUGUAAGUAACUGUGCACGUCUUGACGGUACCUGAUCAGAAAGCAACGGCUAACUACGUG